UACGUAGGGCGCAAGCGUUGUCCGGAAUUAUUGGGCGUAAAGAGCUCGUAGGCGGCCAGUUGCGUCUGCUGUGAAAUCCCGGGGCUCAACCCCGGGCGUGCAGUGGAUACGGGCUGGCUAGAGGCAGGCAGGGGAGAACGGAAUUCCCGGUGUAGCGGUGAAAUGCGCAGAUAUCGGGAGGAACACCGGUGGCGAAGGCGGUUCUCUGGGCCUGUACUGACGCUGAGGAGCGAAAGCGUGGGGGAGCGAAACAGG
rnacentral:rRNA from 1 species